UAGCUGCAGUAUAUUAACUGUACAAAGGUAGCAUAAUCAUUAGUUUUUUAAUUGAAAGCUUGAAUGAAUGGUUUAACGAAAGUUUGACUUUUUUUUAACUAAAAGUUGAAUUUAGGUUUUAAGUUAAAAAACUUAAAUUUUAAAAAGGGACGAGAAGACCCUAGAGAAUUUAAGAAUAAUAGUGAUAAAAUUAUUUUUUAGUUGGGGUGACAUAAAAUUGACUUUUUAAUUAUAAAUUCAUUUUAAAUGGUGUUUAAGAUCCUAAAGUUUAGAUAAUUAGUUUAAAUUACCUUAGGGAUAACAGCAUAAUUUUUUUUAAAAGAUCUUAUUAAUAAAAAAGAUUAUGACCUCGAUGUUGAAUUAAGAUAAUAUUUUGGUGUAGAUUUUAAAAUAUUUAGUCUGUUCGACUUUGAAUUUUACAUGAUUUGAGUUCAGACCGGCGUGAGCCAGGUUGGUUUCUAUCUUUUUUUAUUAA
rnacentral:rRNA from 1 species